GCUAGUUUAAUCCUCAAAUAGAUCUGAUACUUUAGUUUCAACAAAUCUUUAAUAAACAAAUGGUUCACUUUUUUUAGGUCCUGACUGCCACCAGUUGAGUCAAUGAUUCAGUGGAGAGACAAUCUGGGCAGCAGCAACAAGACAACUAUUAUGAGUAGAGAGGGGUUUCAAGAUCCAGGUGCAAGGUGCAAUAAGAUGCAAGGAUCCAGGAUCAAGAGAUCAUUCAUCAAGAAGACUGUUCAAUAGGAAGCAGCGAAUCCUUGGUGAAAAACUAAACCUGGUUGUUUCAGCAUCACUCAGGCAAGACAAAAUACAUUUAAAUUGAUUUCAGUUGGUUAUAUGUUUCAGAUCAUCCUGACCAUUCUGUUGUCCUGGAUUUGAAGACAUGCUGGAACUGCAUUUCUCAUGGCUGAAAGGUUUGUGCAGCGGUAUCCAGACAUAUAAGCACCCUUCCUGGACCCACACGACUAAAGGCUCUGGAGGAGAGACAGAUUCAAGGGAAAGAUGAAAAAUAAGUAAGUCUGGGAACGACUGAAGAAGACCGCAGCGAGGGAAGGAAGUAAUCAUCACAAUCUGCCAGAGAAGGAUAUUGACAGUGCAGGCUCAGGACGGCGAAGAGAAGGAAGAACACCUUUAACAUAAUUUUCUCAUACCUUUUGUCAUGUGUUAUAAUAAAAACAAUAAACCUGACUACAAUAAUAUGGUAAAUUUUAUUAAAAGAUUCCAGUUUGCAAGGAAUCUGGAGUCUCCGACUC